UUCGAUUUUUUCUUGGAUCAAUGUUUCCUUUUCUUUUCUUUGGCUCUUGUUCUUAAGGAGAAGCUUUUCUUAAACUCUAUGAGUCUAGUCUAGUGAAUUGGGUUUUUCUUAAACUCUUAUGGCUCUUAUCAUUUUUUUUCUUUUUCUGUUUUUGUUGCCAUCUAUUUUUUUUAGAGCAUAUCUUAACAAUUCUAUGCUUCCCAAACAUUCGCUAGACCACAAUAAGAUUUUCAGCUUCCUUCUCCUAAAGACUCUAACCCAUUUUUUUUUCUUUCUUUUUCUUUUCACACUCAAUCUCAAUCCCCAAAUAAGUUCCCACCUAGUCCUACCAAGUCCGAAAACGCGGAUUGGAACUACAUGAGAUACUACUCUUGUCGGCUCAAACCUAACACGUUCUACCAAGCUCAAUCCUGAAAAUAGGCCUCACAUGCUCUCACAAAAUAACAUGGCUUGAAAGAAGGGUUGGUUAAGGGUGGGGAAACUACUCCAAUAAUAGAAGCAGCUACUUGGAUUAACAAGAGUGGUGAACAAGUGAAAGAAAAUCCAAAUAUGUAUUCUAUCCACGAGUUCAAAAACGAUGCAAACAUGAUAAUUAUAAGUCAAAU
rnacentral:sRNA from 1 species